UACGUAGGGUGCAAGCGUUGUCCGGAAUUAUUGGGCGUAAAGAGCUCGUAGGCGGCUUGUCACGUCGACUGUGAAAACCCGGGGCUCAACUCCGGGCCUGCAGUCGAUACGGGCUGGCUUGAGUGCGGUAGGGGAGACUGGAAUUCCUGGUGUAGCGGUGAAAUGCGCAGAUAUCAGGAGGAACACCGGUGGCGAAGGCGGUGAUCUGGGCCGACACUGACGCUGUAGAGCGAAAGCGUGGGGAGCGAACAGG
rnacentral:rRNA from 1 species